rnacentral:rRNA from 1 species
GACGAACGCUGGCGGCGUGCUUAACACAUGCAAGUCGAACGAUGAAGCUGGAGCUUGCUCCGGUGGAUUAGUGGCGAACGGGUGAGUAACACGUGAGCAAUCUGCCCUUGACUCUGGGAUAACUGCGGGAAACUGUAGCUAAUACCGGAUACUUUCACUGGAAGGCAUCUUCUGGUGAAGAAAGAAUUUCGGUCAAGGAUGAGCUCGCGGCCUAUCAGCUUGUUGGUGAGGUAACGGCUCACCAAGGCGACGACGGGUAGCCGGCCUGAGAGGGUGACCGGCCACACUGGGACUGAGACACGGCCCAGACUCCUACGGGAGGCAGCAGUGGGGAAUAUUGCACAAUGGGCGCAAGCCUGAUGCAGCAACUCCGCGUGAGGGAUGAAGGCCUUAGGGUUGUAAACCUCUUUUAGCAGGGAAGAAGCGAAAGUGACGGUACCUGCAGAAAAAGCACCGGCUAACUACGUGCCAGCCGCCGCAGUAA